AUGAAAAUAUAUAUAUUUAACAUAGUAUAAAUGGGAAACAAUAAUAUUAUUUUCUUGGAAAUAAUUUAGUUAAAAAUGAAAUACCAUUUUAUUUAUAUAUAAAUUCUUAUAGAAAUUUUAUAACAAAUUUUUAAACAAUAUUUAUGAGAUAGUUUGACUGGGGCGGUCUCCUCCCAAAGCGUAACGGAGGAGCACGAAGGUUAGCUAAUCCUGGUCGGACAUCAGGAGGUUAGUGCAAUGGCAUAAGCUAGCUUGACUGCGAGCGUGACGGCGCGAGCAGGUGCGAAAGCAGGUCAUAGUGAUCCGGUGGUUCUGAAUGGAAGGGCCAUCGCUCAACGGAUAAAAGGUACUCCGGGGAUAACAGGCUGAUACCGCCCAAGAGUUCAUAUCGACGGCGGUGUUUGGCACCUCGAUGUCGGCUCAUCACAUCCUGGGGCUGAAGUAGGUCCCAAGGGUAUGGCUGUUCGCCAUUUAAAGUGGUACGCGAGCUGGGUUUAGAACGUCGUGAGACAGUUCGGUCCCUAUCUGCCGUGGGCGCUG
rnacentral:rRNA from 1 species